rnacentral:lncRNA from 1 species
CUCCAAUGGUUAAUGACUGAUAGGGGAUCGUUCCAUUAAAGUUUUGCUUAAUAUUAAUUUUUACCUUUUCUGCAAAUAACCUAGGUAAACCACUAAUAAAUCUUUCUUUCCAAUAAUCUGCCGCACCAUCCGACCUAAGGCAUAGUUUAGAUAAGAACAUAUCUCUAUACCACCUAUAAUCAGACAUGGUUGGACAAUAAAGGUUUAGCAAUUGGUC